rnacentral:lncRNA from 1 species
GGGAGGCUAAGAAAGUCGCAUAACAAUUGAAUCAAUCAACUAAUAUUCAAGGGUAGUAUGCAAGAGAGAGUGGAAUAGAUGAAAUUGUUAGUACUUAACAACAUCCAUUCAUCCAUUGUUUUGUGUUUAACCUCAAUUGAUCAAAUUGCAUUCAUGUUUAUUUUUCUGCACUUUAUAAAAAUCCNAAAAUAUUAUUUUUAUAGUCUUGAUUGGUUA